rnacentral:lncRNA from 1 species
AGGACAUCUCCAGGUAAUGUCCCAGGGGCUCCCACGAGCACAGUCCCUGCUGAGGGGGAGACUCCCCUGUUUGGGUUCUGCUUCUGACUCCUCCAACUCCUGCUGCGUCUGUGGCCCCCAGAUUCUCACACUGGAUGGCUCAGCCUUUGCUUAAAAGGAACUUAGGUUUCCUUGCUCCAUCUUUCUGGAUUAAAUGGGAUUUGCAAUUCCUGAGCACUUUUUUCCUUUUCUUUUCUGCCUUAUUUCUUUGCUGCUGCUCGAAAACUUUGACAGAAUCUCUAUGAGCUUCUUACAGCCUGUAUCUACAGUCCUGCAGCACAGAGAAAAGAAAUCCUGAUCAUGUUAACCUCUGACAAUUUCACUUUUGCUGUGGGAACAUGAUGGGCUAUUUUCCAUUUCCUCAGAAGCUCGUUGGAAUUUACCCUGGAAUUCAUGUGAGAGCUUCAGCACUGUUGCACCAUCCUAUUCUUCCCUUUGGCUUCAAAGGGACUAUGCCAGCGCUGACUGCCAUCAUCCCUUUACCUUCUGGGCCCUGGUCCUGUGCUCCCACAUUAAAAGCUUUGUUGCUCUAAGAAGGUGUGUGCCAUCAUUGGGAGGGAAUGUACAACCCCUGGUGCCAGUGAGCCUGACUGGGGCAGGAGCCUCCUGGGGUUUGUGGGGAGAG